rnacentral:rRNA from 1 species
CCUACGGGGGGCUGCAGUGGGGAAUAUUGGACAAUGGGGGCAACCCUGAUCCAGCCAUGCCGCGUGUGUGAAGAAGGCCCUCGGGUUGUAAAGCACUUUCAGUGAGGAAGAACGCCUGGUGGUUAAUACCCAUCAGGAAAGACAUCACUCACAGAAGAAGCACCGGCUAACUCCGUGCCAGCAGCCGCGGUAAUACGGAGGGUGCGAGCGUUAAUCGGAAUUACUGGGCGUAAAGCGCGCGUAGGUGGCUUGAUAAGCCGGUUGUGAAAGCCCCGGGCUCAACCUGGGAACGGCAUCCGGAACUGUCAAGCUAGAGUGCAGGAGAGGAAGGUAGAAUUCCCGGUGUAGCGGUGAAAUGCGUAGAGAUCGGGAGGAAUACCAGUGGCGAAGGCGGCCUUCUGGACUGACAAUGACACUGAGGUGCGAAAGCGUGGGUAGCAAACAGGAUUAGAUACCCUAGUAGUC